UUUUUUUGUCGACGGCCGGAAAAGUUUUCUCCGGUGUGAACGCCGGCUCUACCUCCACAGAACAAGGCGCACGUUUUGCCGACCGGAAAAAUUAACCUUAUUCUCGGUGUGAUUGGCGGCUCUAGCACCAAGAGCUUGAAACGACUGGCGGAGAAUCCUGACGCAAACUCUAGGAGGAGAAAAGUUUCCGGGCAAAUAAUCGACGUGCUUGGCUGCAUUUAUCAAGAGCUAUCUCCAGCUUUUGCCUUGAUUGUGAUCUUCCUCCAGCGAAUCGCCGUUUUUGCCAUACGCUUUUCCUCUUCAAUUAAAACCGAGGAACAAUAAAUUUGGGUUCGGGAAUCUAUAAAAAUAAGCUUUAAAUUAAAAAAUUGUAAAGCAUUUAAUUAUUUUUAAACCAGGGUUUUUUUCUGAAUACAUAUUUUCCCUAAAAGAGCACUCAGUCAGCAAAAUCUAAAUUAAGAAAUAUGAACCCUCCCUGUAAAGACUUAUGAAAUGAUCUCAGUAGAAAGGUUCUCCAAAUCUCUGAAUCGCAAAUGUAAAAUCCUGGAGAAGAACUGUUAAAUUCUAAUAAAACACCAAUUGAAUUGAAUUAUUUUUAUAGAGAAUGGUUUCUCUUAGAAUUGAAAUUAUAAUUUUGUAAAGUCUUCAUUUUUACUUCAACAAUUUGACAAUAGUUUGAUUUUUAAAUUCAUUUAGAAAUGUUAUUCAAUGUAUUACGGACACGGAACAAUGGAAUGCCCUCAAUCCAGGAUUAUUUCAAGUUGGACAAAGAAUAAAGUAGAAAAGAUAAGUGGGAUGAAUCUAGAGGAUAUUCUGUCAUUUGAGAUUGAUGAGAAUAAAAAAUCUGAAAAAGCCGCUUUGUGGUUAUGUAUUCUAGCGAUUUCUUUCAAUUUGAAGUGCUACCCUGGACCUAGGGGAAAUCUACCCUUUCCAAUCAAACACCUAUCUUCGUCAUAUGGAGAGUUUGAUGCUCGAUUAAAGCUCCAAAAAUACUAUUUGGGCUAUAAACUUACCAGCAACAGCACCGCCUCGAGUAAGCACGCAAAUGUAUGCCACUUACUGGCCAAAAAGAUCACAUUUAAUGCACUUUUGAUCAUAAUUUGUAUUUUGCGAGACCACUUCUCAUCAUUUUGUUGGCACACACAGUGACACACACGAGAAUCCCUCAAACGCUUAAUGAAUAUCGCCAAAAUUACCUUUUCACUUUCGCUUACUUUUUCACGGCGCUUAAGAUAUGAAAUUGCUUCCAACUACCGGCAACAUGUUCUUUUGAUCAUUAGUAAGGCACUCACUUGAAGAAUAAUCCCGAAAAAUGUAAUAAAUUAGCAA